GGACGGACGGACGGACGGACGGAUGGACGGACGGACAACUCUUACCCAAAGCGACCGAUCGCUCAAGCAGCUCAUCAGCUGAGCAGUCAACUAAGUCCUUGA